GACGAACGCUGGCGGCGUGCUUAACACAUGCAAGUCGAACGGUGAAGCGCUUUCAUUUUUGGCGGGUGUGGAUGAGUGGCGAACGGGUGAGUAACACGUGAGUAACCUGCCCUCUCCUUCUGGAUAACCGCAUGAAAGUGUGGCUAAUACGGGAUAUUCUGGGUCUGUCGCAUGAUGGGAUCGUGAGAGAUAUUGCUUCGGUGGGGGCCGGGCUCGCGGAUUAUCUGCUUGUUGGUGGGGUGAUGGCCUACCAAGGCGCUGUCGAGUAGCUGGGCUGAGAGGGUGAGCGGCCAUAGAGGGGAGGCGCCACGGCGCAUACUCCUGCAGGAGGCAGUGGGGAGUAUUAGAGAACGGUGGGCACAAUGCUGCAGCAGCAACGCGGCGGUGGAGAAGGCGGCCGGGGUGUUAUGACCCUCUUUCGGCAGUGAAGCGGGCCUGCCUCGUAUGUGGCUGGGUUGACGGUAGCUGGAGAAGAAGCGCCGGCUAACUACGUG
rnacentral:rRNA from 1 species